rnacentral:RNase_P_RNA from 1 species
UCAGAUCGCUAGCUAAUCGCUUGCACUUUCAUAUGCGAGAGGAAAGUCCGGGCAGCAUAGGGCGUGACAGUCGCUAACGGCGACCGGGGGUGACCCUAGGGAAAGUGCCACAGAAACGAAACGGCCUGUGCGUCUCGCUUUUGCGAGGGGCACGAGGCAAAGGUGAAACGCGCGGUGUAAGAGACCGUAGUCGCGCAUGGUGACAUGCGAGAGAGGUAAACCCUGUCUGCUGCAAGGAGCGAGUUAUACACGUUCCCGCGAUACUCGCGAAUAGAUCCCGCUUGAUCCGUCGAGCAAUCGGCGGGCUAGAUAGAUGAUUAGCAUCCGGCAUGCGUCGGAAACAGAACCCGGCUUAUCGGCAAUCUGACAGU